rnacentral:lncRNA from 1 species
AGCUGCCCGAAAGCCUCAAACGCCACAAUUAAUUGGUUGGAACCAGAGCGCACGGCCUUGUUCCAAAAGGGUAGCCCAUUCUUUCUUGCCUUGUGAACCAUCAGUAUUGCAGAUGACCUCUCUGACAGCUCCAUGAGGUGCAUUGCAUAGACACAAAGUCCUUCCCUCUUCCCGGUUCCACGUGAAGCCUCAACGAGAUUGAUAAUUGUAGGAAUGCUGUUUGCACUCUGGAAACAAACCAAGAUUCGAAGUUCAGCAUAGGGGUUCUUCUAUCAAUUGUUCUGUGAUUGUAAUCGGCUUUACUUGUCCUUUUAGCCGGCUUGUAUACUGCUAUAACUAGAGGUGUUGUGAUAAAGGUUGUGCAGAGAGCCAUGAGAACCAUGAUGGCAAAUGUUUGAUCAUUCAAUACCUGCAAAAAUCACCAUUGAAGUACAAGUUAGAAAUAAACCAUUGCAACAAAUCGGUGAUUGCAAUAAAGCUUAUGUUCUACCUUUCUCUCUUUACCAAUGUUGAGGACGAUGAGCUCCACCAAGCCCUUGCUGUUCAUUAGGAACCCCAGAGCUAGAGCCUCCCCCCGAACAGGCAUUCUCCAACUAAGGGAGACAGCAACGGUUCCUGCAAUCUUCCCCAAACAGGCUGUAAAUAUGACCAAAACAAGGAGACCCCACGAUUGAAGCCCCCUAAUUGUGGCCACAUCAGUCUUCAAUCCGCUUGAGACAAAGUACAACGGAAGGAGGAGGCCAGAUACAAGAGUUUUGGGUCAAAAUGGCCCAUUUUAAAAAAAAAAAAAAUUGUAACAUGUAACCACUUUUUAAAACUUAUAUUUAAAUUGGUCUCUUUUAUGCCACGUAGGUACAAUAUCAUUAAAAAAUAUAUUUUUUUUAUCAUUUUAGUUAAAACCGUAGUUGGCAACUGCGGUUUCAUAUUCUACGGCUUCAUUUUUUAACUAAAGCCGCAGUUGACAAUUACGAUUUCAUUUUUAAACCAAAUCCGCAGUUAUCAACUGAGGUUUUAAUUAAUUUUUUUAAUUUAAAAUUGAAUUAAAAAUUAUUAAAUUACAAUUUAUGAUUGAAAUUUAAAAAAUAUAUUUAAAUAAUAAAUUAUUUAUAUUUAAAUUUAAAAAUCUAAUAUUGCUUCAACAAAUAUAAAUUGAUAAAUAGAAAAUAUUAUAAAUAAAUGUUUUAUUUAUUAAUAAAUUAAUAAUCUUAAAAUAAUACAUUUAUAUAACAUAUAAAUAAUAUAUAAAAUUGUAAUUUAAUAAUUUUUAAUUAAAUUUUAAAUUUAAAAAAAAAUUAAUUAAAGUCUCAAUUGACAACUGUGACUUUAACUAAAAUGAUGAAAAAAAAUAUUUUUUAAUGAUAUGAUGCUUCCAAAUAAACUAAUUUGAAUAUAAGUUUCAUUUUUAGAUGUUACAAUUUAAAAAAAAAAAUAAAAAAGGAGGGUCAUUUUGACCCAAAACUCCAUAUACAAGGUCCUCACUUUUUCCACAAGAGCACUUGCGAAAGGACCUUUGGGGACCAAAAUUCCCAUCACAAAAGCACCAAAGAGUGCAUGAAUCCCAAUGGCAUCGGUAACAAACCCAGCUGCCAAAACAGCAGCUAAAGUAGCACAUACAUACAUCUCAUCCACAGGCUCACCCACAGGGCAACGCUGAGCCUUCCAUCUGAAUAUUCGUGGGCCAAUGAGUGAACAGCAAAGGACAAAACCAAAUCCACACAAGAACACCCAUAAUACUAUUAUGGGGUAAUGGCCAGUACCAGAGAGAGCAAUGGCAAGAGCAAGUAGAAUCCAUGCAGCCACAUCAUUGACAGCAGCAGCAGACAUGGCCAUUCGGCCAACAUCAGUUGUUAAAAGCUUGAGCUCUGCAAGGAUACGAGCCAAAACAGGGAAGGCAGUGACAGAGAGAGGGCCACCCCCAUGAAUACAAGAAACGACCUUCAUCUACACCCUUGGAAAUCGUUGCUCUGAGGACAACAGAUAUACCAACUCCUAAAGCAAAAGGAAGGCUGAUUCCCGCAACAGCAAUGCUAAGAGUUUUCUUUCCAGUGCGACGGAGGGAGUUGAGAUCUAACUCUAAGCCUACAAGGAAUAGAAAGAAGAGAAGACCAAGGUUUGCCAGAGUAUCCAACACUGUGAGGCUUUGAGGUAGAAAAAUCGUAUGCAAAUAGUUUUUGUUGCGACCCAGAGCUGAUGGACCAAGCAAUAUUCCUCCCUGCCAAAGUGCAAAUAAAAGUUUAUUUCUCCACCAUGCAAUGAAUACACAGAAUCUGUGCUUAUAAAAUAAGUGCAAGGAGAACAGAUUUGAGUGAUUUGGUAGAUAUUUCAUCUAUUGAUUUAUUUGAAGCAUCGGUCUUUCAAACUUGAAAAACCAUAACCUAAAAGAACAACAAUGCAUUCAAGGUGAAGGAUAUAGUAAAAAGAACUUACAAUAAUCUCUGCUACCACACGAGGUUCUCGCAGUGGCUUCAGAAGAAAAGCAAGACAGCGAGUAACCACAACUACAAGGCAUAUCUGCACAAUAACUAGAGGGAGAGCAAAAUGAAUGAGAUUAUCCCCCUCGAACACCCCAUUUGAUGUGGCCUUGGUGGGUGGUGGGCGGUGGGCGGUGGGCGGUGGGCAAGUCACAUUUGUUGCCAUUUUUCACCGAAACAAAGCAGAAUUCAAACAGAUGAAAACUGCCACUUCUCACUUCAUUUCCCGCAUCAUAUCACAAUCAAGCCAUGAAUUCCAAGCUCUAGACCAGUCUUCAAAACAUAGGCAGCCAACAAUCGUCUUAAAUCGCAUUAAUUUAUGAAUGAAGUGCAUGUGAUGAACAUCCAAAUAUGGUAAUGAAAAUGAAGUGGUCAAUGGAAAAGUCAUCACCACAGCCUGUAAAAUGCCAAAGUCUUUGUCAUGCUUGGUUGAGAUUAAAUAUUUUUUUUCAAGUAUAUCAAUAUUUUUUAAAUUUUUUGUUCCUUUUGCUUGCCAUGUGUCUUAACCCUAUUGGCUUAAAAAAGUGGGUAUGUUUUAAAUGACCUUUAUAAUCAAACCCCCAAAAAAAAUUGUAAAAAAGAAAUGGUGAAAUUGGUUGAACUCAUGGGUAUGAAGGAAAUUGGGAGAAAGCAUAAAAGUUAUGUAGUUUAAACUUUAAAUCCAUACUAAAUAUGGAAAUGGAAUUCAAUUCAAUGCACAUAUUUCUAGCCUUUUCUAGGCUUCCAAACAAAGUUAUUAUUAGAGGGCUCCUCGCAUCAUAAAGUAAUAUUUUAUACAAUUUUGGCACUCUUUGGGCCAUUAAUAACAUUUGUAUAUCUCAUGACAAAGAUAAAAGAUACUAUUAUGCUGAUUUUUUUAUAUUAUUUAAUUGAAUAGUUAGGGAAGGUAUAUAUACAUAUAAUUAAUUUUAAAAUGAUUUAUUUUUUAUUUUCUCAUUUUAAACUAAGAUAAAAUUAUAAAAAAAUGAUAAUAUCUUAUUUAUUUACAAAAUGUAAUUAAAAUAUUUAAAUAACUUUUAUCAAAAUAAAAAAUUAUAGGGGCAGUGUGGUGGGAUGGGUAUGGCAAAUUCUGAAAGGUGAGUGGGAUGAUUGGCAUCCUGCCUUGGUUUAGUUUGAGGUAAACAUAACUAAAUAAAUAAUGACAAUUGGAUUUGAUUUGAACACCAACUGUUUUAUGAAAUGCCCUCAAGAUUUCGGGAAACUGAAAAUAUUUAAUUGGAUAAUAUCUUACAAUUAAGUAAAUUUUAACAUCCAACGCCUUUUAUUUGUUUAUACGAAAGCAAACUAGACUUGAUGUGGAAAGAAGAAAUCCGAAUGUUCCUUGCGGAAGGUAGAAAGCUAAUGGCGCUUUUAACAGUUUUCCACCACCAGCCACCACUUCUUAGGAAAUAUCUGAGUUUGAAAACGACCUGGGUUGAUAUUGCUGCACAACAAGCACUGAUGCAGCUGUGGGAAUGCCACCACAAGUCAGCAAACUGCCCACCGGCCCCAGUUCCGGGAACUCGAUCAGUGGACUCAAUCCAGCAACGAGUUGACCCUCUGGCGUUCGGCCCACAACAAACAUGGUGCACCGGUGGUAUUCGCGGAUGAUUUCGAUGGCUUCUGCAGCAUUUUUUACGACUCUUUCUUCCAAUUUGACUGAGCUGUUGUGUGACGUCUUGUUCUUGAAUUCAGCCAGGAAGUUUUCGUCCAAUGAGGAGUUGGAGUUGGGGUUGGGGUGUGGAUCAGGCGUGAUGGCCUCAUCCAGGGUGUCUGGGUGAAAUAGGAAGCGAAUGGCCACUAGACUAAUGCCGGGAUGCUCAGCCAUGCGUGCACCGUACGAGAGGGCUUCACGGUCGUCGCAGCCGCCAAAGAAUGGGACUGUGAUGAUGGAGGAGACGUUGCUUGCAGAUACUUGGGCCGUUCCACCGAGGUCGCGGUCUACUAGGAUCCCAACUGAGCAUCGAGCAUGCUCGAGGACCUUUCUGUUGACCACCCCGAAUUCACUUCUGCUAGUCUCCAAUGUUCCAUCAAAUCUCUGGUGCUUAUGGAAUGGGAGGAUGAUGAUCGCUGCCCUUUUCCUUUCAGCACUUGUGCAGAUGUCCUCGUGCAUGUUGGACAUGGCUGAAAUUGCUGUCAUUGGCCUGAUAGACACUCUGCUGAGCUGCCCGAAAGCCUCAAACGCCACAAUUAAUUGGUUGGAACCAGAGCGCACGGCCUUGUUCCAAAAGGGUAGCCCAUUCUUUCUUGCCUUGUGAACCAUCAGUAUUGCAGAUGACCUCUCUGACAGCUCCAUGAGGUGCAUUGCAUAGACACAAAGUCCUUCCCUCUUCGCGGUUCCCCGUGAAGCCUCAACGAGAUUGAUAAUUGUAGGAAUGCUGUUUGAACUCUGGAAACAAACCAAUAUUCGAAGUUCAGCAUUGGGGUUCUUUCUAUCAAUUGUUCUGUGAUUGUAAUCGGCUUUACUUGUCCUUUUAGCCGGCUUGUAUACUGCUAUAACUAGAGGUGUUGUGAUAAAGGUUGUGAAGAGAGCCAUGAGAACCAUGAUGGCAAAUGUUUGAUCAUUCAAUACCUGCAAAAAUCACCAUUGAAGUACAAGUUAGAAAUAAACCAUUGCAACAAAUCGGUGAUUGCAAUAAAGCUUAUGUUCUACCUUUCUCUCUUUACCAAUGUUGAGGACGAUGAGCUCCACCAAGCCCUUGCUGUUCAUUAGGAACCCCAGAGCUAGAGCCUCCGGAACAGGCAUUCUCCAACUAAGGGAGACAGCAACGGUUCCUGCAAUCUUCCCCAAACAGGCUGUAAAUAUGACCAAAACAAGGAGACCCCAUGAUUGAAGCCCCCUAAUGGUGGCCACAUCAGUCUUCAAUCCGCUUGAGACAAAGUACAACGGAAGGAGGAGGCCAGAUACAAGGUCCUCAACUUUUUCCACAAGAGCACCUGCGAAAGGACCUUCUUUGGGGACGAGAAUUCCCAUCACAAAAGCACCAAAGAGCGCAUGAAUCCCAAUGGCAUCAGUAACAAACCCAGCUGCCAAAACAGCAGCUAAAGUAGCACAUACAUACAUCUCAUCCACCGGCUCACCCUCAGGGCAACGCUGAGCCAUCCAUUUGAAUAUUCGUGGGGCAAUGAGUGAACAGCAAAGGACAAAACCAAAUCCACACAAAAACACCCAUAAUGCUACUAUGGGGGAACGGCCAGUACCAGAGAGAGCAAUGGCAAGAGCAAGUAGAAUCCAUGCAGCCACAUCAUUGACAGCAGCAGCAGACAUGGCCAUUCGGCCAACAUCAGUGGUUAAAAGCUUUAGCUCUGCAAGGAUACGGGCCAAAACAGGGAAGGCAGUGAUAGAGAGGGCCACCCCCAUGAAUACAAGAAAUGGACCUGCAUCUACACCCUUGGAGAUGGUUGCUCUGAGGACAACAGAUGUACCAACUCCUAAAGCAAAAGGAAGGCUGAUUCCUGCAACAGCAAUGCUAAGAGCUUUCUUUCCAGUGCGACGGAGGGAGUUGAGAUCCAACUCCAAGCCUACAAGGAAUAGAAAGAAGAGAAGACCAAGGUUUGCCAGAGUAUCCAACACUGUGAGGCUUUUAGGUGGAAAAAUCGAAUGCAGAUACUGUUUGUUGCGACCCAGAGCUGAAGGACCAAGUAAUAUUCCUCCCUGCCAAAAUGAAAAUCAAAGUUUAUUUCUCCACCAUGCAAUGAAUAUCAGGUUUUCCCAAACAGCAGUGUGGAGUAUAUUAGAAGUACCAAGAACUUCUAACUUCAAGAAACCCCUUUAAUCCCAGAAAACAAAAAUGUCAAUACAAAAUUUAUUCCUUGAGUUUAAUUUCUCACUGUUAUUUUAAAGCUGUUAGUGAGAAAAGCCAGUUACAGUUUUCUGUUCUCAAAGGCAUAAACCUGUUUUUCCAAAACAUGUCUGGGAAAUUUUGGACAAAAAACAGCCUUCUUAGGAUAGUUCUAAAAGGAAGGGCUUAAGGUAAUUAUAUAAAUACUAAGAAUAAUUGAAAAUAAAAAGAACUUAUUUGGACGGAAAGAGAACGAAUUUUGAAGAUGAAUGCAUUCAAGGUGAGAGAUAGAGUAAAAAGAACUUACAACAAUCUCUGCAAUCACGCGAGGCUGUCGCAGUGGCUUCAGAAGAAAAGCAAGACAGCGAGUAACCACAAGCACAAGGCAUAUCUGCACAAUAAGUAGAGGGAGGGCGAAAUGAAUGGGAUUAUCCCCCUGGAACACCCCAUUUGAUGUGGCCUUGGUGGGUGGUGGGCAAGUCACAUUUGUUGACAUUUUUCACCAACAACGCAUGAGAAUUGCCAAUUCUCACUUCACUUCCUGCAUCAUUCCACAAUCAAACUAUGAAUGCCAAGCUCUAGCCCACCUCACUAUUCCUCUUAUAAAUCCAUUCAUGAAUCAUCAUCUGAUAAGAUCUGGAAAAUGCUUUUAAAAAGCUAAAGAAUUUGUAAAGACAUUUUUAGAAAAAAAAUACUUCAAAUAGAAAUAUUUUCAAAUCAUUAUUAGUUGGAUCUUCCUUGUUUUGAAUUCUUUAUAGGGAUUGAUAAUUAUUUCUUGAUCUUUAUCAUUUUUCAUAAUUCUUUCCAUAUUUAGAAAUAUUUUCAAACCAUUAUUAGUUGGAUCUUCCUUGUUUUGGAGGAUUGAUAAUUAUUUCUUGAUCUUAUCAUUUUUCAUAAUUCUUUCCCUAUUUAAUCUUUUAUUUUUCAAUAUACAAAAAUUUAAAAAAUAAAGUACAAAAAAAAAAAACCACUUAAAUUUGGUAAGUAAUUGACAAUUACCUGUAAUCAAAUACUCGAUAUUAACAGUAAAUUAAGAAAAAGUGGGUCAAGAAUUUGAUUUGAUCAGAUUUCAGAACAUGGUGGAUUUUGACAGUCCAGCCACGAGGCACAAGACCCCACAACUUCGGCUCCAAAAUUGUUGCCACGUGGCUUUAUGACGUGUCAAUGCUCAGCUUCCUUCCAUUUUUGUUUUUGUUUCUAUUUUAGAAACAAGGUUUGACCUUGGGAUGGGGUUUCUGUCUUUUCAGAAAGACUAUUUAAUUGAAAGUCAACAUCUGCCUUGCUUCACUCACCCGAGAAAUUUGCAUGCAUUAAAUACAAGAUGACAAUAGUACCCUCCAAAGCACAUUAAAUUUUCAAUGCUUACCUAAUUGUCACUUAUCAUUAUCAAAUCGAUAUAUAAAAAAAUUAAAAAAAUUCAGUUUUCUAGGUCAUGUUUCUUAACUGAAUGAUGUUUUAGAAACCAUUUCAUUAAAAAAUAUUUUCGUUUCGACUAGGAUUCUCAUAUUCGAUCAAAUUUUCUAUUUAGAGAAACUAAUAGAAAACAAAACAAAAAAAAAUGAAAUGGAAUGGAAAAGGAAAGAUUUUUCUCAGAUCCCUCCUCAUUUCUCCAUACAAGCACAUAUCCAGAGAGAAACGCAGAGAGAGAAGACAAUGACCUGAUCGUCAUCUUCGUCAUGGAAGGAGUUGUUUCUACCAUAUCUUCAUCAUCGUAACCACAUGGACGCUUCUAGAUCGUUCUCCAAAUCUCCGAGAAGAGAAAUUGCAGAAGCUUCUGGGUCGUUCCUCAAAUCUCCGAGAAGAGGAAUUGCAGAGGAAGAAGAGAGAGAAGUUGGGGUGAGUGCAGGACGGAAGAUGAAGUCGAGCGACAUUAAAUAGAAUCGCGAAAAUCAAUGCUAUGACCAUAUUGCCAUUCUUGAUUCGCUUUAUUUGCAAAAAUACCUCGGAUUUGUUGGCGACACAUUCCAGCCGUCCCUUGAUUUUGGGAGAUCUUGGUUAGGUUGGGAGAAAUUUUUAAUAAUUAAAUAAAAAAUUUAAUAAUAAUAAUAAUUAAAAAAACAACUCUACUGUCUUGCUAACAAAACCCACCAAAAGAAUUUUUAUGAAGGUAAAAAAUAUUUUAAUAUUUUAUAAUUAUAAAUUAAAACUAAAAAUCCAUCAAGUAGAUCAAAUAACAUUAACUCUAUCUAUAUAAAUUUAUAUCAAAUAAAAAAAAAACAACAUUAUCAAAAUAAAUAUAUAUAUAUAUAUAUAUAUAUUCAACAUUAUCAUCAAAUAAAUUAAAAAUCAAAAGGCAUUAUCUUGAAAAUCCAUAAUAAAAUAUCAAGAUAAUUUAAUUGAUGACGAAGAUAUUGUCCGUUGUUUUAGGUUUGAGGGUUGUCCAUUUUAGGUUCGAUGACUCUCACGACUUUAAAAAAAAGGUGUCUACAACUGGGGAUUUUUUUCACUAUCCGUGCGAUUCUGAGAGAAAAGGACAAAGAGAGGGGGGUUGCACCAGAAGAAGGAAAUAAAGAAGAGAAAAACGACAAAAAUCUAAAUCUCAGAAGGGAGUUGGGAGAAGUGGGUGGGGUCAGCCCUGUUGUGGGAAAAGCUGCUACUGGAGGACCAGUCCUUCCUUGGAGCUGUUUGGUUGUUUGGGCAUAAUCUUUUUCCUUUUUCAUUGAAUCUUUUUACGGUUCCUUUAGUUGGUAUUGAAGGUGUAGAGAGGAUCAUGGAAUCCUGAAAUGUGGAUACGGGGUCACAUCGUGCCUAGGAUCAAAUAAUUGCCCUGUCGAGCAUGAAAUGACAAAACUCUCAUUUGGUCCCAUUUAUUCAUUUUAUUUUUCAUUCACCCUACUCUCUUUACGAGUGAAAAACCUCACAAAGGAACGAAGAACCUCUUUAGAGUUGCGGACUUUGUUUACGAUAUCUUGCAUUUUUCUGCAUACAUUAUUCCUUUAAUCUUUCCACGUAAAUUAGACAAAUAAUAUAAGAGAUGUAGAAUCAUUAUAAUCAUGCCAUCAAACCUUGGAAUAAAGGAGAUAUAACUUCAUCUCGGGAUCACCCAGGCCAGAAUAAUUUUCCAACAUUUUCCACAGCCGACACUACUCCUCGGAGAAAAUCUCCGAGUUUGGAAAGGACCCGGGUUGAUACUGCUGCACAACAAGUACUGAUGCUACUGUGGGAAAACCAGGAGAAGUUAGCAAGCUGCCCACUGGCCCCAAUUCCGGGAACUCGGUCUUUGGGCUCAAUCCAGCAACGACAUGACCCUCUGGCAUUCGACCUACAACAAACAUGGUGCAGCGGUGGUAUUCGCGGAUGAUUUCCAUGGCUUCGGCAGCGUUUUUUACCACUCUUUCUUCGAAUUUGACCGCGCUGUUGAGUGAUGAAUUGUGCUUGAAUUCAGCUAAGAAGUUUUCAUCCAAUAAGAAGUUGGGGUUGUCGUGUGAGUCAGGGGUGGGUGCCUCUCCCUGGACGUCUGGGUGGAUUAAGAAGCGAACGGCCACUAGACUGAUGCCGGGAUGCUCAGCCAUGCGCGCACCAUAGGAGAGGGCUUCGCGGUCGUCGCAGCCACCAAAGAAUGGGACUGUGAUUAUGGAGGAGACGUUGCUUGCAGAUACUUGGGCGGUACCACCGAGGCCGCGGUCGACUAGGAUCCCAACAGAGCAUGGAGCGUGCUCGAGGACCUUUCUGUUGACCAAGCUGAAUUCACUUCUGGUGGUCUCCAAUGUUCCAUCAAGUCUCUGGUGCUUAUGGAAUGGGAGGAUGAUGAUUGCUACCCUUUUCCUUUCAGCACUUGUGCAGAUGUCCUCGUGGAUGUUGGACAUGGCUGAAAUUGCUAUCAUUGGUCUGAUAGACACACUGCUGAGCUGCCCGAAAGCCUCAAACGCUACAAUUACUUGGUUGGAACCUGAGGGCAGUCCCUUGUUCCAAAAUGGUAGCCCAUUCUUUCUUGCCUUGUGAACCAUCGAUAUUACAGAUGACCUCUCUGAGAGCUCCAUGAGGUGCAUUGCAUAAACACAAAGUCCUUCCCUCUUCCCCGUCCCACGUGAAGUCUCAAUGAGAUUGAUCAUUGUAGGAAUGUUGUUUGUACUUCGGAAACAGACCAAGAUUCGAAGUUCACCAUUGGGGUUCUUUCUAUCAAUUGUCCUGUGCUUGUAAUCUGCUUUACUUGGCCUUUUAGCUGGCUUGUAUACUGAUAUAACUAGAGGUGUUGUGAUAAAGGUUGUGAAGAGAGCCAUCAGAACCAUGAUUGCAAAUGUUUGAUCAUUCAAUACCUGCAAAAAUCACCAUUGAAGUACAAAUUAGAAAUAAAGCAUUGCAACAAAUCAGUGAUUGCAGCAAAUCUUAUGUUCUACCUUUCUCUCUUUGCCAAUGUUGAGUACAAUGAGCUCCACCAAGCCCUUGCUGUUCAUUAGGAACCCCAGAGCAAGAGCCUCCCGAACAGGCAUUCUGCAACAGACGGAGACAG